UAUGUUCAGGUUCUGCCCAGUGCAGAAGAGACCUUCCUCCUGGCUGCCUGCAGAAGAUAGUCUCCUUCUGGCUUCUUUUGGAUCAAGAUGUAGAACUCUCAGCUCCUCCUCCAGCACCAUAUCUGCCUGAAUGCUGCCGUGCUCCUGCCUUGAUGAUAAUGAACUGAACCUCUGAACCUGUGAAUUCAGGUCUAAGUCCUUCCUGUUGUGUCUGUAUCCAACUGACGAGCCUGUGUGUGACAAGCUGAUGGAUGGGGGCACUUUGUGCUGAACACCAACCUCAUUAAGACGGGAAAUGAGAGAGACCAGGCACGAGCAGGCCUCUGGAAGAACAAUAGAGAAAUCCUCUUCCUUGAAAGUGGCAGG
rnacentral:lncRNA from 1 species